AUUGAACGCUGGCGGCGUGCUUAACACAUGCAAGUCGAUCGGUAACAGGUGUAGCAAUACAUGCUGACGAGAGGCGGACGGGUGAGGAAUAUUUGGGAAUCUGCCCAUCAGCGGGGGACAACCCGGGGAAACUCGGGCUAAUACCGCAUACGCUCUACGGAGGAAAGCCGGGGACCGCAAGGCCUGGCACUGAUGGAUGAGCCCAAAUCGGAUUAGCUAGUUGGCGGGGUAACGGCCCACCUAGGCGACGAUCCGUAGCUGGUCUGAGAGGACGAGCAGCCACACCGGAACUGAGACACGGUCCGGACUCCUACGGGAGGCAGCAGUGGGGAAUAUUGGACAAUGGGGGAAACCCUGAUCCAGCGACGCCGCGUGGGUGAAGAAGGCCUGCGGGUUGUAAAGCCCUUUCGGUAGGGAAGAAAUCUCUUGUCUUAACACGGCAGGAGUUUGACUUAACCUACAUAAGAAGCACCGGCUAACUCUGUGCCAGCCGCCGCAGUAAUAC
rnacentral:rRNA from 1 species